AGUGAACGCUGGCGGUAGGCCUAACACAUGCAAGUCGAACGGCAGCACAGGAGAUCUUGCUCUUUGUGUGGCGAGUGGCGGACGGGUGAGGAAUACAUCGGCUUCUGCCCAGUCGUGGGGGAUAACGUAGGGAAACUUACGCUAAUACCGCAUACGACCUUCGGGUGAAAGAGGGGGAUCGCAAGACCUCUCUCGAUUAUAUGAGCCGAUGUCGGAUUAGCUAGUUGGCGGGGUAAUGGCCCACCAAGGCGACGAUCCGUAGCUGGUCUGAGAGGAUGAUCAGCCACACUGGAACUGAGACACGGUCCAGACUCCUACGGGAGGCAGCAGUGGGGAAUAUUGGACAAUGGGCGCAAGCCUGAUCCAGCCAUACCGCGUGGGUGAAGAAGGCCUUCGGGUUGUAAAGCCCUUUUGUUGGGAAAGAAAUCUUUCAGGCUAAUACCCUGGGAGGAUGACGGUACCCAAAGAAUAAGCACCGGCUAACUUCGUG
rnacentral:rRNA from 1 species